rnacentral:rRNA from 1 species
UACAGAGGUCUCAAGCGUUGUUCGGAUUCAUUGGGCGUAAAGGGUGCGUAGGCGGCGCGGUAAGUCGGGUGUGAAAUCUCGGAGCUUAACUCCGAAACUGCAUUCGAUACUGCUGUGCUUGAGGACUGGAGAGGAGACUGGAAUUUACGGUGUAGCGGUGAAAUGCGUAGAUAUCGUAAGGAAGACCAGUGGCGAAGGCGGGUCUCUGGACAGUUCCUGGCACUGAGGCACGAAGGCCAGGGGAGCAAACGGGG